rnacentral:rRNA from 1 species
GAUGAACGCUGGCGGCGUGCCUAAUACAUGCAAGUCGAGCGAACAGACGAGGAGCUUGCUCCUCUGACGUUAGCGGCGGACGGGUGAGUAACACGUGGAUAACCUACCUAUAAGACUGGGAUAACUUCGGGAAACCGGAGCUAAUACCGGAUAAUAUAUUGAACCGCAUGGUUCAAUAGUGAAAGACGGUUUUGCUGUCACUUAUAGAUGGAUCCGCGCCGCAUUAGCUAGUUGGUAAGGUAACGGCUUACCAAGGCAACGAUGCGUAGCCGACCUGAGAGGGUGGACGGCCACCCGGGAAGUGAGGCACGGUCCCGACUCCUACAGGGGGCCGCAGUAGGGAAUCCUCCGGGAUGGGCGAAAGCCUGACGGGGCAACGCCGCGGGAGUGAUGAAGGUCUUCGGAUCGUAAAACUCUGUUAUUAGGGAAGAACAAAUGUGUAAGUAACUAUGCACGUCUUGACGGUACCUAAUCAGAAAGCCACGGCUAACUACGUG